ACGGGUGAGUAACGCGUGGGAAUCUACCGUACCCUACGGAAUAGCUCUGGGAAACUGGAAGUAAUACCGUAUACGCCCUAACGGGGAAAGAUUUAUCGGGGUAUGAUGAGCCCGCGUUGGAUUAGCUAGUUGGUGGGGUAAAGGCCUACCAAGGCGACGAUCCAUAGCUGGUCUGAGAGGAUGAUCAGCCACAUUGGGACUGAGACACGGCCCAAACUCCUACGGGAGGCAGCAGUGGGGAAUAUUGGACAAUGGGGGCAACCCUGAUCCAGCCAUGCCGCGUGAGUGAUGAAGGUCUUAGGAUUGUAAAGCUCUUUCAACGGUGAAGAUAAUGACGGUAACCGUAGAAGAAGCCCCGGCUAACUUCGUGCCAGCAGCCGCGGUAAUACGAAGGGGGCUAGCGUUGUUCGGAAUUACUGGGCGUAAAGCGCACGUAGGCGGGUAUUUAAGUCAGGGGUGAAAUCCCAGAGCUCAACUCUGGAACUGCCUUUGAUACUGGGUAUCUUGAGUAUGGAAGAGGUAAGUGGAAUUGCGAGUGUAGAGGUGAAAUUCGUAGA
rnacentral:rRNA from 1 species